CGGGGAAUUAUUCAUCGGAGGGCGGGGCCUGGGUUUGUUUACACCCUGCCAUUGGCUGGAUUUGAAUCGGCCCGACUGCGGGCCGGCCGCGGGGCGGGGCUCCAGAGGGCCCGGGCCCGCGCCUGACAGCUUGGGGAGGAAGGGCCCGCAGCCCGAGCGCCGGGACCCGGCAGACGGGGGUACCCUCGGCGGAUGCGGCCAGCGGGGGUGGACAGGUGGAGGCUUCCGCUCUCGUUUCUCCACAAAUACUAAUCAAAGGCCAGGGUGCGGAGCCUUGUUUGUGUUUUCAUAAACACGCUGCAGGGAACACAAACCCGGAAACAACCUUGCUGCCCACGGAUGGGGGACUCAUUUAAAUAAGCUGUGGCCUGACCCGUAGUGACACACGAAGUAGCCGUAAAAUGAGGAAGACACGAACCGACACACAACAAGUUAUGUAUCCAGUCAAGAAACAAAAGCGAAGAGGGGAGCAGAGAGUGUACCGAUUUAAAAGUGGGUGAAAAAAAUACAAGCUUUUGCUUGUUAAAUGCACAGAAUGUCUUUGAAAGCAGCAACAACCCGGUAACAGCAGUUGUCUGUGGGGAGGAAGACAGGGCGGGUAGAGGAUAGAUGUUUUGGUACUGCCUUCAAGUUAGAGCCCUGUAUCACCCAUUCAAAGAAAGGCACGCCAUGUAAAUAAAAAUACAGGACUGAGUUCUGAGGACUCUCCCCCUGCACCCUCCUGCCUUGGGGGAGGAUGAAGAGAAAAAAAGCCUAAGGAAGCCCCAAAGGAAAGAAGCAAAAAUCAAAUCUAGGAGAGGCCCCUUUAAGAAGGGAAACUUGCCUCCUCCAGAAAAAUGAUGUGAGGCUGUGAGGCAAGCUGAGCGCCUGGGCAGACGGGACAGUCGUCCUGGGUUUUGACUUUUAUUAAUACUCGUGUGUUCUGGGAGAUCUAGAGAGGAAAAGAACGACUUCCUGCAGCUAAUGAGGUUUGAACUGUUAGGGUUCUUACUUCCUCUGUCUAGAUCCCGUGGGGGGAGGGUUUGUGAUACACUGUUAAUUUGGCAUGAAAGUCAAGCCUGGAGUGAAAAUUUGCCCAUCUGCGAAUUGUGAGUAACUGCUUAACCAAGCUGGCACUCUCAGCCCUGGUCCAUAGAAAUAACCUCAGCGAAGGUACCAACAAACAUCCCUAGCAGAUGAAGAAACUGAAGAACAGAGGAGUUAAGUAACUGGCCCACCGUCCCACAUCUCCCUCCAGAAAAAAGAAAAGGGACACCAAGAAUGGGCAGGUCAUGGCUGGAGCAAGAGGAAGGUGUCCAAAAUUUCUAGAGAGGGAGGAAAGAAUGGGAGGCUCUCCGGGAAACCGCAAGGACUUUGGCAAGGAGGGGAGGGUCUCUGUGAACCUGGAUCCUUCCACCUGGAAAAGGAACGUCCUGGGUGUGCUCGGAGACGGCACCCACUUGGAUUUCGAGGAGCUGUACUUUGGGGCUGUCCAGCCGGAGGUGAACGGAAGUGGUGUGUCGGAGCCCGGGCCCAGCUGUCAGAUCUGGGCUGGUGCUGCACGUGCUUAGGAAAGAUCAUUCUGCAAGUGCUGGCCACUCACCAUCAUCGAACAAAACAGCAAACGGAACAAAAUCCGCGCCCCACCCCCCAAAAGGGUGUAAGGAGAGGGAGCUCAAAUGACCCACAACAGCCCUCCCCCUGCCACCUUAAUAAAAGAUAUUUAUGGCGGCUUCUUUGCGUGGCCAGUCUGGUGUUGCAGAGGGCGGGGCUCUGGAAUGAGGCCUCUGUCUGGGUUUGUAUCCCGCCUCUGCCACCUACUGGCUGUGUGCUUCGGGCAAGUCAGUUUCCUCUCUGUGCCUCAGUUUCCUCAUCCGUAACAAUCCGCCUCUCAGGAGGGAGUGGAUGUGAGGGGGCUCUGAACGGUACCUGGAACUUUUGUAUCAUUGUUCCCGAAAGCCCUGUUAGGUAGGAGGCACAGGGACCAGGAUAAGCCUGGCCCCCGGCCCCACGGAACAAUCAGAGAUGCAUAUUGAGGAAUUAGUUACACAGCAAGUGAUUUGACUACUAUUCAGACCCUUCCCCAUCUCUGUCCCUACUAAUGGAGUCCAGGCCACUGUCACCUCCUAUAUGGCCAGUUGCAAGCAGGAGAGGGGCAGAGAGGAAGAGAGAGAGAGACAGAAUCCGAAGCAGGCUCCAG